rnacentral:lncRNA from 1 species
CACGGAACAUGCUCUUCAACAUAGGAAGAAGUCAUCAACGGUGUUCUAUCAACAACACAAGCUCCAUUCACCUACAAGAACAAAAUGGAAUAUCAAGUACUUGGAUCGUUCAAGCAGAUUACAACCAACAUAUAUAUAUGUAGAAGUACAUCAAGAAAUAUGAUGGAGCAAUCGGACAACAAAUACAUUAAGUAAACAACCCAACCGAUGAGUGAUGACGACAAGCAAAGAGUAUAAACCCAGGUUUGGACAUACAUAGUGUCAACUCAAGCAGAACAUAAUAAGGCAGUAAACUCAAGAAGAACAUAAUUAAGCACGAUGAAAGGGACCAUCCAAUUAAAUUCCAUUCCCAUCUUCUUCAGUAAGGACAGGCAAAACAUCCCAGCAUAUCUCAAGUCGAUGAAUUAUUCUAGCAAUAACCAAAUUAGAAACAUCCCUUGUUGUUCCAUUUAACCAUACUACAAGACUGUAGAAGAAUCACUCUUGGUGAAUCAAAUCAUAGCAAAUCGAGCAACAGAUACAAGAGGCACAUCAGGCCUAGCCAUUUUCGUUUCAGUAAUUUAGAAAGAGGGGCGAUGGGGCACGGAACCUUGAGGCCCUGUUAUGGGGUUGUGUUUGAUGAAGGUUGCCCUUUGGGGCGGCAGCUGCAGCUCCUCCAGAUGCAGCAGCAGCACCUCCAACCGGCACGACGGCGGUGACAACACAAAUGGUCACCUGUGUGACAUUUCAGAUCAUCAUUACAGAAUUUAAUUUAUUUAUUCAAGACGCAAGCAGCAAAGAUAGUGUCCACCUUCGCAUAUAGAACCGAGCAUAGAUUUACAUCACAUCAAUGAUUCAAGUAGUUCAAGACUUAAUUACUUUUUCAACAUCAGGGUAAGAGAUAUGGAACAAAAAUGCACAAAUGGUGCCUAUUGAGUUAGAGCAAGCAAUAUAAAGGGGCACAACUGUGUGAAACUGUUAUCAGCAUUGUUUCAAAGUUUACUGUGGCAUAUUUUUCAUGAUCAGUAUGACUUCUUAUAAAUAAUAACCAAUAGUACUGCCGCCAGAUCCUUACACAUGUAUAAUGGCAUGAAUAGAGCAAUAGAGCAAUGCCCAAUCCUUACACAUGUAUAAUGGCGUGAAUAUGCAAGUUAGACCUAGAUGUUACUAACAAGUGUUAUUUGCAUAAUUAAUGAAUAAGUGUGGUAUUUCUGACUAGCCAGAAUCAAUCUUUGUGCAUACAUCUGGCCAUGUUGUUCCUUGCCAAAUAAGCUCCCAAAAGCAGUAUUAAUAAAAUUGAAACAGAAUAACAUUUACAGGACUACAUGAACCACAACAAAAAAAAUUCUGUUGCGAGUAAGCUACUUGCCUUUGUCCAUUUGCUCCCACCAAGUCAAUCUAUUAUACAUCCCUUGAUCAUCAGCGAAUGGAGUUCCCUUCUUCCAGUGGAAGAAGUUGUAUGUAAUCUGAAAUGAAGAUUCAGUUAGGAAAGCAACGACAAUAGAGAAAUAAUUUCUAGAUAGUAUGUUUCAAGCUAUAAUCUUAUGAGAAAAAUAGCAAUAAUUUGUACUUCCAGAAUUGAGGUUGGGCCAACUAGAACUACAGUAUUUACUGCCAGAAUGAUUUCAUGAAUUUUGCCACUACAUGAUUAUAUUUAAAGUAGCAAAAGAAUUAUUAAAUGUAGGCUAUUUAUUUGGCUAUUAUGAAACAGUAAACCUUCAAACUAGAAUACACUUUAUUAGUUGGCAGGAUUGGCGAAUGCGUCGUAGCAAUCUAAGAAACAGAAGUGCAUUUCUAUGUGGUAAAAUGAUGUGCCUAGUUGCUGAAAAAUGAUGUUUAUUUAUGUUGACAGAAUGCUUUUGAGGAGUUGGCAUCCAGUUCUUAUUGAGCUAUACAAGGAGGCUAGAAUUGAGCAUUGUCGUGCAACUAGGGACUUGAGUAGCUACGACUUCUAUGUGCAACAUGUGCUCAUCAACAACAAAAAUUCCCACGCUCAUCAAUUAGUAGAAAUGAAACUGAUAGUAGUAUAGUAGGUGUGGUCUGGUCCUUGCAGCAAAAAAACUUGCACUUAUGCAUCAGAGAGAGGGGGGCUACCAAAUUGAGUUGCUAUUUCAUCCAUGGUGGUGUCCCUGCAUCCAUGUAGCUGCUGCUGCUGACCUUGAAGAUGCAGCUCGUCGUUCUGCUAUUGUACCAAACGAACCUUGUCGCUGCUGCACGCACAAUAACAAAUAAGAAGUGGUUUGUCAGAUCAAACCGGAACCUUCCAUGAGAGAGAGGGGGGGAGAGGGAGGGAGGGAGAUUUCAAACCUUCCAUGGGCAGUAGCUAGGAGGAGUAGGCAGAGCAGAGGAGGGAGCAGCAUCUAGGAGGAGGAGGCAGAGCAAAGGAGGGAGCAGCAGCAGCACCAGAGCAACCUACACACAAAACAAACAAACAAACGUAGGAAUCAGAAGUGAGGAGAAGAAGAAAUGGCCGGCUGCCGACUGCCGGAAUUGCCGGAGAUGGCCGGCUGCCGACUCGCGUUUGCCAUGGACGUCUCCGCCACCGCGCCCUCAUUGCCUCGUCCCCAUCCAUCCAUUGGUGGGUGGGUGAAGGGCUACGGUGUCGGGCCUCAUCCGCCCAUGGGUCAGACGGACCUGAGGGAGGGAGAGCUAGGGAGCGAGGGAGGAAGGUCGCGGUGGUGAUGGGGUUGGGGGAGACGGUCNNNNNNNNNNNNNNNNNNNNNNNNNNNNNNNNNNNNNNNNNNNNNNNNNNNNNNNNNNNNNNNNNNNNNNNNNNNNNNNNNNNNNNNNNNNNNNNNNNNNNNNNNNNNNNNNNNNNNNNNNNNNNNNNNNNNNNNNNNNNNNNNNNNNNNNNNNNNNNNNNNNNNNNNNNNNNNNNNNNNNNNNNNNNNNNNNNNNNNNNNNNNNNNNNNNNNNNNNNNNNNNNNNNNNNNNNNNNNNNNNNNNNNNNNNNNNNNNNNNNNNNNNNNNNNNNNNNNNNNNNNNNNNNNNNNNNNNNNNNNNNNNNNNNNNNNNNNNNNNNNNNNNNNNNNNNNNNNNNNNNNNNNNNNNNNNNNNNNNNNNNNNNNNNNNNNNNNNNNNNNNNNNNNNNNNNNNNNNNNNNNNNNCUGCCGCGCGGUGCGCUGCGACGCGAGGGCGGCGGCCAUGGUCGGAGCCGCGGGGGGUGUGUGUCCGUGUCUCGGUGGCCGGUCGGAACUCGGGAAUGGGGAGGAGCCACCGCGGGGGGAGCAUGCGCGAGCAGGAGAGGAUGAGGGGGGAAGUGAGGCCGGCGGCGAGAUUGGAUCUGGGGAGGGGAUAGGGUUUGGGUGGUUGGAGGGGAUGAGGGGGGAGAAGGGGCGACGACGAUGGAUCUGGGGAGGGGAUAGGGUUUGGGUGGUUGGGCUGCGCGGGGGUGGGGUUCUUUUUCUUUCUUUCUAUUUUUUUCUUUAGAUAAAUGCGAUGGAUGGAUGGAUGCCAUGUCGUCGAUCCAUGGCACAAACAUUUCAACCAAUAAGAAGAAAGCUUAUGUAAUUGUAUUUUUCUAUUUGUUUCUCUUGUAUUUUUUGCAUGAGGGUGCAUUUUGAAAUGGCAUAAUUUGUUCAAAAUAUAUCAUACUUUGCAUCAGAGUGCAUCUUGGAAUGGCAAACAAUGUUGCCUAAGGAAUUCUUCAUUUUAUUUACACGGAAAAUUCAUUUUCCAUUUUUCGAGUGCCUAAAAUGAGGUUUUUUAUGAAGGAUCUACCAUAUAUUUGUUGUAAAAUUGUACCAAAUCAAUUUUUUAAAAUACUAGGACAUAUUUAAUGCACAAUUGACCAAAUGGUUGGGUGUAAAAAGUUUUGAUCCACCUCUCGUGAAAAAGACAAAUUCCCACCGAUUCAGUAGGAAGCGGGUCAAAUUUGAACUCUAGCUACCUCGUAGUUUGCUCUUUAUUUUUUCCAAAAAUAAUUUCAAGGUACAUAAGUAUCUAUUUUAUCACAGAAACACCAAAAAAAUUCAAGAUUCAACCACUAGCUAGGAACGGUCAUUCCCGUUGUUUUGACCGCAUUUUCAAAUGGGCAUAAAAAAUUUAAAAAAAAACAAAAAAUUGGAAAAACUUCGCAUUGUGUCAUUAUAUGUGACCAAGUUACCAGCAAAAAUUAUAAACUUGUAAUAUGGUGAUUAUUUUUAAAAACUGUUCUCACAAACGAGCUAUCAAGCAUGAAGAUGCAUGGCUUUCAACCCAAAUGCUCAAUCUUAUGGCUACAUUCAUGGAUAGUUUGUUCAAAUAAUCUCAUAUUGUGCACAAGGAUGCAUAUUGGAAUGACAAACAAUGUUGCCUAAGGGAGUUUUCAUUUUCUUUACAUGGAAAAUUCAUUUUCCAUUUUCCGAGUGCCCCAAAUGAGUUUGUUUUGUGAAGGACCUACCAUAUAUUUGUUGAAAAAUUGGACCUAAUCAAUUUUCUAAAAUACUAGGCCAUAUUUAAUGCACAAUUAACAAAAUGGUUGGGUGUCAAAAGUUUUGAUCCACCUCUGGUGAAAAAGACAAAUUUCCGCCGAUUCAGUAGGAAGCGGGUCAAAUUUGAACUACAGCUGCCUCAUAGUUUGAUCUUUAUUUUUUUCAAAAAUCAUUUUUAGGUACAUAAUUAUCUAUUUAAUCAUAGAAACACCAAAAGUUUUCCAAGAUUCAACCACUAGCUAGGAACGGUCAAGCCCGCCAUUUUGACCGCAUUUAGAAACGGGCAUAAAAAUUUCAAAAAAAUCAGAAAUUUGGAAAACCUUCGCAUUGUGUCAUUAUAUGUGACCAAGUUUUCAGAAAAAAUAAUAAACUUGUAAUACGGAAAUCGUUUUUAAAAAGUGUUCUCGGAAACGAGCUAUCAUGCGUGAAGAUUCAUGGCUUUCAAGCCAAAUGAUCAAUCUUAUGGCCACAUUCAGGGCAUAGUUUGUUCAAAUGAUCGCAUAUCAUGCACAAGGGUGCAUCUUGGAAUUCCAAACAAUGUUUCCUAAGGGAGUUUUCAUUUUCUUUGCACGGAAAAUACAUUUUCCACUUUCCGAGUGCCCGAAAAGAGUUUUUUUUGUGAAGAACCUACCAUAUAUUUGUUGUAAAAUUGGACCAAAUCAAUUUUAUAAAAUACUAGUCCAUAUUUAAUAUACGAUUGACCAAAUGGUUGGGUGUGAAAAGCUUUGAUCCACCUCUCAUGAAAAAGACAACUUUCCGCCGGUUCAGUUGAAAGCGGGUCAAAUUUGAACUGCAGUUACCUCAUAGUUUGCUCUUUAUUUUUUACAAAAAUCAUUUCUAGGUACAUAAGUAUCUAUUUAAUCAGAGAAACAUCAAAAGUUUUCCAAGAUUCAACCACUAGCUAGGAACGGUCAAGCCCGCCGUUUUGACCGCAUUUUGAAACGGGCAUAAAAAAUUCAAAAAAACCAAAAAAUUGGAAAACCUUUGCAUUGUGUAAUUAUAUGUGACCAAGUUUCCAGGAAAAAUAAUAAACUUUUAAUACGGUAAUUAUUUUAAAAAAGUGUUCUCGGAAAUGAGCUAUCAAGUGUGAAGAUUAACGGCUUUCAAGCCAAAUGAUCAAUCUUAUGGCCACAUUCAUGGCAUAGUUUGUUCAAAUGAUCUCAUAUUGUGCACAAGGGUGCAUCUUGGAAUUCCAAACAAUGUUGCCUAAGGGAGUUUUCAUUUUCUUUUCACAGAAAAUACAUUUUCCAUUUUUUGAGUGUCCGAAAUGACUUUUUUUGUGAAAGACCUACCAUAUAUUUGUUGCAAAAUUGGACCUAAUAAAUUUUAUAAAAUAUUAGGCCAUAUUUAAUGCACAACUGACAAAAUGGUUGGGUGUCAAAAGUUUUGAUCCACCUCUGGUGAAAAAGACAAAUUCCCGUUGAUUCAGGUGGAAGCAGGUCAAAUUUGAACUGCGGCUGCCUCAUAGUUUGCUCUUUAUUUUUUCCAAAAAUCAUUUCUAGGUAAAUAAGUAUCUAUUUAAUCAGAAAUACAUGGUUUGAUGGCGAGACAUCGAGGUUUGGAUGGUGGCUGAGGGCCCCAACUCUAGAGCGCGUAAGCUCGCAUGCCCGCAGCGUGGUCACCGCGUGACCGUGGCGUUGCCAUGUGUUCUGGGCGGCCUAGGCAUGUCUAGUGGGUUGGGCACUCCCUAGAUAGGUGCUAGGAAGAAAAUCACAACAUAAGAUUCUCACGAGGAGACUGAUCGAUGCUCAAACAUGAAUAAGCAGCCAAGUAUUUGAUUUGUGGUACGCGAAAUGCACAUGGCUAAUGGGCGUGAGUUUUGGCUGAGGAUGAUCAGUUACUAAGAAGACCGUCUUCACAAAUUUUCACCUCAAAAGGAGGAGCCUAGGUGGUACUUGUUUUGCAAAGUACCACAUUGGACAUAAAUACGAAUGUUGAAGCUGGGCUCCAAAUAAUGAAUGGAUUGAGCUGGCAUUUGGUGGAGGAUGGUUAUUUGGGCAUAGGGAAGCACUAUAGAAAAUGGAUACCAUUUGGACAUGCCAAAGUGGUACUUCCUUCACAAAGUGCUGCUCUAAACAAAAUAGGAAAAUGAAUAUUGUUGAGUUAUUUUUGAACUAGGCAAGGAAUGUUUUUGACAUAUUUGAUGAACAUAUGAUCCAAACAAUUUAUGAUAAUUUUUUGGGAAUUUUCGAAAUAACAGAAAUAUAGGUUGCUUCACAACCUAGGACAAAAAUUGACACAUGGACAUGACACAGGCAAAACUGAUGAGAUGGCGCCUAGUCAUCACAACCGACCAUAAUCUACAAAACUAUGACCAUCUAUAUUAGUCGUUAACAACUAGAAAUAAGGCAGCGGACCAGCACUAUUUGCUUUAUGACCAUUUCGUGUAAGGAAAUUACGACCUUUAUGAACAAAAUGGUCGUAAUGGUUUAGGGUUUGGAGCCCCCCGAACAGCUUUUGACCAAUUGGUCUCAAAUGGUCAUAGAUCUAUUACCAAUUCUUCCAGCAUCACUGACAGAAGGUCACUAGUUAACAUAUUUCUUGUAGUGUGGAUGCGGCGGUAGGAUCUUUCUUAUUGUAACAGACAUUCAAUACACAUAGUAGAGUGGCAUUGUCUGCAGUGUUGAUCCUCUGUCCAAUCAUUUCUAGGAGCUCCCUUUUGUGCAAUGGUGCAUCUCAUCUUGAGUUGUACUGUUUUUUUCUUAUUUAACAAAACACAAUAUGAUUUUGCCACGUGCAUCCCUCAAUCCUUGCCAUGUCUAUCCCUCGAUGCUCUUCCAGAUUUUUGCAAUGUGCAUCUACAAAAACAUGGCAAAUUUCUAAAUUUUUUAAUUAAUGGUAUAUGGCAAAUUUAAGAUAAGCUCCUUACUAUAUACUCCCUCCGUAAACUAAUAUAAGAGUGUUUAGAUUCAAUUCCGUGCCGACGGCCUGGAUCUGAUCACCCGCCCGCUGCAUCCCUUGCCGGCGUUGCGGUCCUACACUUAUAUAGUGGGGUGGAGGUGGUGCUGAUGCGUGAUUGGUCAUGCCGGCGCUAUCUGCCCGUCUGCGGCCGCGAUGAGCUAGGCCAUGGGGUGCAUCCACUCCACUUUGAAGGAGAGGCAACACCCUUCUUGCUACGAGGAUCCUGUCCACCUCGCUCUCUGGACCGUGUGUGACCUCGCUUGCAUCCUUUCCCCCGUUUUUCUAGGUAACCAAUUACAUGAACAUCCUUCCAUGAAUGCAGCUUCCGGUUCAUGUCAGAAAAAAAGGAAAAUGGAUCUAGCUUCUGUUAGUCUGCCAUCUUCUCCUCGAGAAUAUAAUGACUAAAUUUGUCAUGUCACCAUUUACAAAUUCAGAAAAAUGGUCAUGUUUGUUUAGAGAACGAACUCGUUAAUUUGUAGUUUUUUCAAUCAUGGCAACCCCCUAUGCACAUUGUAUAUCCUUUUUGCCAUGUUAUUCUAGAAAACAUGGCAAUUUUCUUAGCUUGUUUUUACUUUGUACAUGGCAAAAAUAAAGCAGAAUAAGUUUUUUGUGAAAACAUGGCAAUUUCUGUUAAGCAACAUGGAAAUUCUUGUUAAAACCACAUGGCAAGUCAUAAGGAAUUUUUUAUUAAGUAAAAUCAAAUGGCAAAAUUAGUUGUUCCAUGGCAAUUUUAUUUUUUCUUUUUCAUGAUGGCAAAUUUAUUUUUUGUACCAUGGCUUCUUCUCUAUCUUCUUUUCAUGAUGGCAAGUUUAUUUUAGUACCAUGGCAAAAUGUAUUAUUCGAUCGCGGAAAUUUCCAUGUUCGUAGAACACGGCAAAUUGUACUAUUCUGUCAUGGCAAAUUAUACUAUUCGAUCAUGGCAAUUUUCAACCCGCAUUUUACCAUGGUUAUUUUCAGUCUGUAGGCCUAAAGAACAUGGCAACUUUCCUUUUUGUAGCAUGGUUAAUUUAUUUUUUAUUACCAUGGCAAAUUUCAUUUUGCAUUUGCUAUUGCAAAUUUUUCUUUUUCUUACCCAUGGGAAAUUUACCUUUACUGCCAUGGCAAAAUUACAUAUCUACCAUGGCAAUUUUAUUUUCUCUAUCACGGAAAAUUUCAUUUUUUCCUUUUCUGUUAUUUUUUUAGCAUGAUGGCAUUUUUAUUUUACCACCAUGGCAAUUUUAUUUUUUGUAACGUGGCAAAUUAUUCUGUUGGACCAUGGCAAUUUUUUUCUUUUUCUUUACUUUUCAUGAUGGCAACUUUAUUUAGUUACGUCGCAAAGUUUUUCUUGUAACAUGGACGAUAAAAAUUGUCUACCAUCGCAUGCUCAUUUAUGUGCAUACAUCCUCCCUUUUUCAAUUUUUCGAUAAAUUUCUUUUUAAGUAAAUUAUUUUUGAAAUAAAACAUGGUGAUUUUUUCUCUAAUAACAAUAAAAAUUAUGUUUUCGUCUUUUUUUACUACGAUGGCGAUUUUAUUUGAUUACCAUGGCAGUUUUAUUUUUUAUGUAUUAUACCAUUGGACCAUGGCAAAUUAUUUUUCUUCUUAUUGUUCAUGAUGGCAACUUUAUUAAAUAAUCCUUUUCGGGAUGACCCGUCAUGAUGAAGUCCAGAGCGAAUGUCAAUUGGUUAAUGAGAAGAAAAACAAAUUUGGGCUUUAAUUUGUCUCAGAAAAAAAACUAGUUUUGUUCGCGCCGGAACUAAUUUUGUUUCCCACGAUAAUAUUCGAACGACACUAUUUUCCCUCGUACCGAACUUCAGUUCGGACCGCUCGCGUCCCGGCCCGAACGUUCGGCAUAUAUCGAGGUCCUUUAUUAUACAUUCAAAUUCUUUUUUCUAUUUUUGAGCAUCAGUACAGACACAAGCGCUCAUAUACACGCGCAUACACUCACCUCUAUGAACGCACUCACUCACACCCUACCCUCCGAGAGACUGAGCCGGCAUACCAUCUUGAGAAUUACGAAGUCACCGUAGGCGCCUCGUCGUCGACGCGAACGUCUCCUCCGAUUGAAAGCACAUCGCCGGAAAUCCUGAAAUAAAUUCAGAAAUAAUGCGAGCACCGGUAUUUGAAUCCUGAUGGGUUGGGGAUACCACUGUCCACCUAACCAUCUCAACCACAGGUUGGUUCGCAUUAUACAUUCAUAUUCAUUUAAUGUGGUGUAACUACUAAAAGAGUUUCACUUUGAUGCAUGAGCAACAAAUGGAGACGUUUGAAACCAUAAACACAAAUUUAUAGCGCCAGCAUCUAAUUACUCCUUAUACUCUUGUUAUAUAUAGUUCGAGUCGGACAGAGAUACAAAUCAGACGACCAUGGCCCCUCUCCAAGCUCUCUCCUCCGUCCUCGUCCUCCUGCUCCUCACACAGCAAGCGCGCACGGCGAGGGCGAGCACGCUCGUCGGCACCGGCGGGGCGCAGGACUACGACUUCUGCGUGAAGACGCUGGGGGCGGACCCGGCGAGCGCGAUGGCCAACGAUCUCGGCCUGGUGGUCAUCACGGUGAAGAUCGCCAUGGCGACCACAUCGCCCGGCUGCAGGCCUCCGAGACGUCGCCCCGGCGGCGGCUGGUCCUGGACGAGUGCGCCAAUGACUACGCCUUGACAGUGCGCUGGCUGGGGCGCGCCUCCAUGGACUUGGCCGCGGGCGGGGACGAGGACCGGCUGACGGAGGCGGCCACCCUGCUGGAGCACGUUCGUGGCACGCCGGCGCGCUGCGACAAGGCGUUCGUCCUCUGGGCCGGCGAGAGGACGCCGCUGACCGAAGCGGACCACGAGCUCAACGGGGUGACCGUGCUGGCAUUGAAAAUCUUGCGCCAUUGCUUAAAUGACGGGGCAAAAUGAGCAAGUAGCACGAGGCCUUCUUCUACCUCCGGAAGAAAAUGAUCAUCUUUUCCGGCAGUGAAAUAUGUGAUGUGCAACAAUAAAAUGAGUAAUAAUAAUAACUUGCAAAAUUUCCAAUGGAGAUUGUAGAACGUUGUGGUCUUAUCAGUAUUUACUUAUUUCAAAAAUGACGCUGAAGAUUUUCUCUGAUUCACAAGAGUUCAUUCAGAUCAGGCGAGGAAGGUUACCAUUCGAUUUUCACUGACAAUUAGGUUUUUGAUUGAGGGUUCUGUGAUUCUCCAGCUACAUGUUUUGUGUACGUGGUACCUUUCUCUGACUCUUGUUUUCAUUAUGUAACCUCUCUGGCCUUUACAAAAAAGACGUUCUCAUAACUAAAUGUCUUUCUUGUGAUUCUGAUAGGCCCACCUACGACACAUGCAUGUACACCAUGUUUCUCUACUGUAAUUUAAUGUUAUAUUUAGAUGUUACAAAAAAAUUAUUUACAUGUUACACAAAAGAGUUCAGGGUUCACUUAGAGGAAUAAUUGCUUUGCACGUAUACAUUUACUGAAAGGGACUGAUGUGCUGAACUUUCGAGAAUUCCGAUUGGUCGUUAAUAUAACCUUUUCUCCUUUUGUUGAAAUGUCCGAAGGAAUUUCCGUUAUUUUAGGUUUUCAACUUGAGGAGUUUCAUGCUUUUUGAGUGGAGCCAUCCACAUAUAUAAUAUGAUUCUCAAAAAUUCAUUAUAAGUUAAAAUCAUUAUAUACAUAUUGUUCCCUGUAUUUUUUAUGUGAGUAGGGCCAGCUUAUUGCAUGAUUAAUAAGACAUUUUUGUGUAGUUCACCGUUUAUUUUAUUAUGUCUGUAUAAACAAGAUUUUUUGGUUAUUUGGCCUCACAAAUGUUCUUUCUUGAACAGCAACCAGCAGAGAACAAGAACAACAAUAGUGAUGAGAAAGGAAGGAGCCGAGUAUGCCACACACUGAUACGAUGGUUUCCCCUGUGUUCUCUAUAUAUGGUAAUCCACUUCUUCACUGACUCAAAUUGUUUACUGGUGAGCUAACAAGAUGGUUUUGUGUCUUCCCUCUUUCUUUGUAAGUGAAUGACUUCAGGUUCUUGGGCAUUAUUCAACUGCCAUACUUGUGGGAAAUAAAUGUACUAAACUUGUGAGAUGGAUUGAUUAAUGGGCAGUGGAAUGGGAUUAGGGCUCGCAAUUUACAAACAAUGAGUUGCAACUAUAAAGAAUGGAUUGAUUAAUGGGCAGCAGAAUGGGAUUAGGGCUCUGCAUAGUUAUGAGUUGCAACUACAAAGAAUGGAUUGAUUAAUGGGUAGUAGAAUGGGAUUAGGGAUCUGCACAGUUAUGAGUUGCAACUACAAAGAAUGGAUUGAUUAAUGGGUAGUGAAAUGGGAUUAGGGAUCGCAAUUUACAAACAACUUAAAAACGCUAAAAGUAACAAAAAUAUGAGUCGCACUUGGGUACGUGGUUGAAAAGAAAAUGAAUCAUUGAAAUGCUUCUGCCUCCCAAAGAGGCGUACCAGCAUUUUCAUCGAAGGGAAAAUGUUUCAGAAUCUGGGGGUUUCAUCACCUGCUAUUGUAACUGUUGUGUGUAAACAUGAGAGGUGCGCCUCUCAUUACAUUCCAUAUUUGCUUGAAUGCAAAUGUUUUAACUAUUAUGUGUAUAUAAAUGAGAGACGCAUUACCUCCAUAUUUGUUGGCAGGUCAAUGUUUCUAGAUAGGGUGCUAUUCAAUUCUAAUUGAUUUGCUCCAGGUAAACCCACGGGUCCUCGUCCUAGGGUUUCCGCCGCCGCCAUGGGCGACUCCCUUGCUUCCGCCCUAGUCUAAGCCGUUUCUCACCAUGAGUCUACGUGGUAAUUCGUCCUCCGGAUUACGGAGGGAGUCUAAGCCGUCUACGUUUCGUCUCGGAAGGAAGGAGGACCCGUCUGGGGCCGUGAUCGGCAAGGUAACUGUGGCGGGCGGGACUCUCAUAAGUCCUCCAGUCCGCCGCAAUCUUCCUGGCAAGAUCGCGCCUUUCAAUAACCCGCUCUUCGACCCUAAAGCUACGUCUACAGCAACCGCGCGCUCUCCGUCGAUGUCGUCCGCUGGCGAUGGGGGUGAAAAAGGGGGGGCCGAUGAGGCCCCUACCCACCCGAAGUCGUUCGGUGGCGAUGCGAUGGUGCCCGCGCGGGGUUCCGGAGGUCAGAUCGAGCCGGCGGAAGAGUUUGAUCACACCAGCAACUGGGAUGAGAGGGAAAGUGUGGGGCUGGAUGGUCCGGAGGUCAGUAUUGGCGGCGAGGUGAACCUAGAUGAUGAUGUUGUUGUGGAAGAGGAACCUGCAGUGGAGCCGGUGGCGGCGCCGCCGCGAUGGAGAUUGCUCGGCCGUUACGUCAGCAUCGGGCGGCCAAACGUCGACGACAUGACGGAACACUUCAGCGAGGUCUGGAAGGUACGAACAAGCCUCAAUAUUGCAAGGAUUAAGAACAAUUGGUAUGCGGUGACCUUCUUCUCCGAGGGAUAUUACAACUUUGUAGCAAGAGGAGGAUCUUGGAUUUUCAAGGGAAACGCACUCAUUGUUGGCCCGUUCAAGGAAGGAGAGCAGCCUUCUGAGGCUGUACUGAAUUCAGUCCCGAUCUGGGUCCGUGUAUACAACGUUCCGUGGGGAAAGCAGACUAUUGCAUAUGGCGAAUUUCUUGCAGGCUUGUUGGGUACCGUCAUGGAGGUGGAUGCUGAGGCUGAUGGGAGCAGGGUUCGCGAGUUCUUGCGUAUACGUGUGGACCUGCCACUUGGCCGCCGGCUCCAGACCAAAAUUACCAUCGGCAAGGACCCGGCGAAACAAGUUAUCUACCCACUCCGUUACAAGAGGGUGCCCCACUACUGCUUCUGGUGUGGAUUCAUAGGCCACGAUGGCAACCAUUGCGAGAAGAAAAGGUUGGGUGUUCCGACCCGAGCAUAUGAUGAAGGGUUGAGGUGCUCUCCGUACAGAAAGUUUGAGAAUAGAUCAGGCGUUUGUGGCACCUGGAACCCAGCCUGCAGCAAGACGGGGGCUGAACUUUGCUAGUAAUGCUCCCUCUGAGGUUCUUGGAAAGCCAAGAGAGAGGCGUAGAGGGAAGGGAAGUCAAGAGCAGCAGCAAACACCAGAGAUACCAGUACGGGUUGAUGCUCACGACGGUUUUGGCGAACACAGCAGCUCUGACGGACACAACAUGGACAUGGACAUUUCUGAUCGUGUUUUAGCUAUGCGUGUACACUUGGCUGGGCAGAGAGCUGAGGCCAGCAGAGUCCGUACGGUGCGGGCAUCAUCUGAACCUCCAGAGUUCGUCUUCCUUGGAGGUAGAAUACCUGCGCCCCUGCCACUUUCAGUACGCCCACCUGGGAGUGAGCCGAGCCACAGCAGCAACCUUGGGAGCAAGGAUAUGAUCCCGGCCAUGCGUAACCUUCACGACACCUCGGAUUUUUCAUCUGCUGAAUCCGAUCAAUACAUGCAAGAGGUUGAUUCUGUUCUGGGGAAGAGAUUUUCACGUGGGCAAGCGUCCGACGACCUGAAUCCCAACCAGGGAGCUAUGGUGGUGCAUGCAAAGAGGGGUGUUGUCAACAAGCAGAAACGAGGGAAGAUUCAGCAGAGUGGCAAAGGCAAGAACCAAGAUGAGGAGAAGAUGUACUCCGACAGCAUGGAUGGAGUGGAGGCAACCGGCCUUGGGGCCGCCGGUAAACUAACGGGGUCGGGUGCGCCGCCCCGUCAGGAGCAAUGAAUUGGCUAAGUUGGAACUGCCGGGGGGCGGGGAAUCCCUCGACAGUUCAUGAUCUCGCGUCUCUUGUUAUGACGCAAUCCCCAAGUCUUGUUUUCUUGUGUGAGACUAGGCAAAAUAAAAAUAAGAUGUAUCAUUUGCGUAAUAGGUUAGGGCUUUCUGGUUUUGAAGGAGUCAGUAGUAAUGGUUGUAGUGGCGGCCUAGCACUAUUUUGGCAUGAGUCUAUGUAUGUCGAUGUGCAAGAAGCUAAUGAAAGAUUGAUUGACGUGUAUUUGCGUGUGUCCCCGGACAAGCCAUUAUGGAGAGCUACAUUUGUUUUUGGCGAACCGAGAGUAGAAAAUAGACACAUGAUGUGGGAUAAGCUCAAAGGUCUGCAUGCUCAGAGCGCUCUGCAUGGGUGAUUAUCGGUGACUUCAAUGAGGCUAUGUGGGAUUUUGAGCAUCAAUCGGAAACUCCGAGACCUGCUGGUCUAAUGAUUAAUUUUCAGGAUGCACUUGAAGCUUGUGGACUCACUGAUCUUGGUUUUUCAGGGCACCCCUUCGCAUAUGAUAAUAGGCGGAGUGGCCAGGCGAACGUCCAAGUUUGGCUGGAUAGAGCGGUGGCGUCCAAUGACUGGAGAGACAUGUUUAUGCAAGCUUCGGUGGCACACCUUGAGUCGCCGCGUCGGACCAUAGUCCGCUGCUCCUCAAGUUCUCGCUGGAACAGGACAGGCGGCCUAACAGCAGCCGCCGGUACGAGUUGAUGUGGGAGAGAUCGCCGGGAUCGUAACACCAAGAUGUUCCACAGGAAGGCAGUUUGGCGAGCGAGAAAGAAUAAAAUCCGAGGGCUGGCGGAUGAGGCGGGUGUUAUGCACACCGAUCAGGCCAACAUGCUACAGAUGGUAAAAUGUUAUUUUCAUAAUUUAUUCACAGCUGACCCAAUGUUGGAUCCACAUGAUGUGUUACAGCUUAUACAGCCCAAGGUGUCCAUGGAGAUGAACAACAAUCUAUGCAAGGACUUUACCGAUGAGGAGAUUUCUAAUGCAAUGUUCCAGAUAGGGCCCCUAAAGGCGCCGGGGCCGGAUGGGUUCCCCGCGAGAUUCUUCCAACGGCAUUGGGCGGUGAUGAAGGAUGACAUAAUUAAUGCGGUUAAAUUAUUUUUUGCCUCUGGAGUCAUGCCGGACGGGAUAAACAGCACGGUCAUUGUUUUGAUCCCCAAGAUUGACUCGCCGUCCCGACUCACUGAUUUUCGGCCUAUCAGUCUCUAUAAUGUCAUAUAUAAGGUGAUAGCCAAAUGCCUGGUCAAUAGGUUGAGGCCUAUUUUGGAUGAGUUGGUGUCCCCAGAGCAGAGCGCCUUUGUACCGGGCAGAUUAAUUACAGAUAAUGCAUUAAUCGCUUUUGAGUGUUUUCAUGCGAUCAAACAGGAGAAGGACCCGGAGCAGAGCUUUUGUGCCUAUAAACUGGACCUGUCCAAGGCUUACGAUCGGGUAGAUUGGGUUUUCUUGGAGCGAGUGAUGCAACAGAUGGGUUUCUCUCACCGAUGGGUGGAUUGGAUAAUGAGGUGUGUCACCUCGGUGAGGUAUUGUGUGAAAGUCAAUGGAGCCCUCUCGGAUUCAUUCGCACCGUCUCGUGGACUACGGCAGGGAGACCCCCUCUCACCUUUCCUUUUCCUUUUUGUUGCUGACGGUCUUGAUACUAUUCUAAAACAGGAGAUUGCAGGCAACCGCCUCACUCCACUCCGGGUGUGCGCCCAAGCUCCAGGCAUCUCACACCUCCUGUUCGCGGAUGACACCUUAUUGUUCUUUCGUGCUAAUGGAGAGGAGGCUGCCCAAGUCAAAGAAGUUAUUAGUACAUAUGCUAGAGCUACAUGCCAGCUCAUAAAUCCUGCCAAGUGCUCUAUAAUGUUCAGCCCCAAAUGUUCACAAGCUAACAAGCAGGAGGUCAUGCACAACUUGGACGUGGUGAAUAUGAGCUUUGAGGAAAAAUAUCUUGGCUUUCCAACGCCAAGUGGCCGCUUUUCAAAAGGGAAACUACACAAUCUUCAGCAACACCUGACAAAGAGAAUUAUACAGUGGGGAGAAUUGAUGUCCCAAGCAGGACGUGAGGUUCUUAUUAAGGCGGUGGCGCAGGCCCUACCCACCUUCCUAAUGAGUUUGUUUAAAUUUCCUAGAAGCACCUGCGAUGAUUUGGGGCGGAUGAUUCGUAGCUACUGGUGGGGCACGUACAGAGGCAAGAGGAAAACCCACUGGAAAUCUUGGGACUCGAUGCUAAGGCCCAAAUCGGCUGGGGGUAUGGGAUUCAAGGACUUCAGACUCUUCAACCAAGCAAUGUUAGCUCGGCAAGCAUGGCGUAUUUUGGUCAACCCGGAAUGUCUUUGUACGCGCGUCUUGAAGGCAAGGUAUUUCCCUAAUGGACGAUUAGAAGAUACUGUUUUCACUAGCAACGCGUCGCAAACUUGGCAGGCCAUUGUGCAUGGGUUGGAAUUGCUGAAGAAAGGCUUAGUCUGGCGCAUCGGUAACGGGCAGUCGGUCCGAAUUUGGCGGGACUCCUGGAUACCACACCCUAUUGGUCGGCCACCAAUUACCCAACAGGGAAGGUGCUGUCUCCGCCGAGUCUCAAAGCUACUAGACGAGCAUGGUGCAUGGCGCGGAACCCUACUUCAACAGUACUUUUUGCCCGUUGAUGUUCAGGAGAUACUAAAGAUUAAAGCGUCCCCUCGGCUGGGGGCAGAUUUCCUUGCAUGGGGUGUAGAACGUACUGGUAUCUUCACCGUACGUAGCGCGUACCGGCUGGCGCUUGAGGACAAGCUUUGUCCCUCUUCAGUCGCAGCGAGCAGGGCACCGGACGGGCGACGUGCCGUCUGGGCAUUAUUAUGGAGGUGCCCUGCUCCUCCUAAGGUGCGUGUGUUUGCAUCGCGUUUGGCUACUAACUCCCUUGCCACAUGGUCUAAUAAAUUCAGUCGACACAUGGAGGUUACUGAUAUAUGCCCAUUAUGUGGUCUCGAGCGCGAGGACACUUUUCAUGUGUUUUGCAGGUGCCCUCGGGCGGUGCAUUUGUGGCGGACUAUGGCGGAGGUGUGGAGUAUACCGGACAUCGAGUCAGUCCGUAACACCGGCCCAAAGUGGCUCCUGAACCUAAUUGCAGAAAGCAAUGAAGGGGACCGGCUGCGCCUGAUUAUGCUGUUGUGGAGAUGUUGGCAUGUGUGCAACGAGAUCACUCAUGACAAACUGGCGCCGCCUGUGGAGGUAUCCCGUCGCUUUUUGCAGAGCUACGUAACCUCACUGCUCGGGAUCCAGCAGUAUCCACAGGGAGAUUGGGACAAAGGGAAGAUGACCAUCCAACAAGAAGGUGCAGAACAACCUAUAUCACAUGUGGGAGGUGUGCCACGAAUAGUCCACAAAUGGAGUCCCCCACCCGCCAACUGGACGAAGCUGAAUGUCGAUGGCUCCUUUUCCCAUGAUGAUGGGAGGGCCGGGACGGGAAUGGUGCUUCAUGACCAGGAAGGGGCCAUUAUUUUCUCCGUGUGUCGCUCGCUAUGGUCUUGCCCGGACCCUAUACAUGCUGAGCUGGCUGGGUGCAUGGAGGGCAUAGCUUUGGCCCUCCAAUGGACGGAGUUGCCGUUUAUCGCCGAGUGCGAUAGUCUGCAGGCAGUGCAACUGAUAAAUGCCUCAGGAGAAGACCGCUCGCAGUAUGCCAUGGUGGUCUCGGAAGUGAAGCUUCUUAUGAGUGAAAGGGAGUGUCAUGUUAUUCAUAUUUCUCGAGAGCAGAAUAAUGUAAGCCAUGCGUUGGCGAACUUUGGAAGGACGGAGGACCGUACUGUGGUCUGGCUCCGCUCCGGCCCGGACAAUAUCCCUAGCUUGUGUAGGGAGGACCUUCUUGGCUCUUGAGUAAUACAAAUCCCUUUUACCCCGCAAAAAAAAUUCUAACUGAUUUAACAUAAACAUUUUGGCUAAAAAAAGGUUAAUCAAUUGACAAUAUUGCAACAUAUGCAUGAGGAUCCCUCGGAAAAAAAACAUAUGCAUGAGGAUAAUAUUUAUGCUCCGUUGAAACGCACGAGCAAUUAUCUAGGAUGAUGGGACUUAACAAAUUGUCAAAUUUGGAGGGAACACCAGAUGGAUUUGGAUUGGGCUGACAACAAGUGAAGUAAUAAUAAUAGAGUGGCCAAAGAGCUGAAGUUGAGGGGCUCCUGAUAGAUCCAUUUGUUGGCCCGUGGCAAUGCACGGGCGUUCUACUAGUUUUCAUUAAUAGAUCCAUUUCCCCUCAAUCUCUGGCAAAUUCUUUGGAGCGUGCUACGCGUCGGCCGGCGGAUCUUUUUAAAAGAUCCAUCAGGUUCUGAGCCUUCGAAUCUGACAUGAUCUCGCGGCCGAGCGUCUUCCUCACUUUUGUAACAGAAAUCGUGUUGUGAGAACCCUUUUGCAACAUAGGUCUUGUUGCAUAAACGUCGUCGCGUAGCACAACACUAGCACACUUGUGGGAACUGUUGUUAUGGCGGCACCAGCGGUUGUGACUGAGCUCGAGGAGGCAACAACCAUGCAUGCUUGUCCACGCCGGUGCUCCCUCGGGAGGGCGGGGCGACGGCGGACGCGGCUCCCCGUGGAUGCGGAUGCCGGUGCUUUCCCGAUACGGCGGACGCGACUUGAGGACUUGGGGCGGCUACAAAUGGAACCUGCGUCCUGCGGGGAUGAGAGUUCGGAGAAAGAGAGGAAAAUGGCUGGGAGAAGACAACGGAGGUUUUUGAAGAUAAGGUAAGGGGUACAUGGCUGGUUGGGGCUAGUAAAAACAUAUGUGAACGUGUGCGGUAUGAUCAGAUGGGAUCCAAUGUUGUAUGGGCGGCGGAACAUUGUCCGUGAUCGGUGAAUGAUUUCUCUAAACUUUUUUACCAUUUGUUAAUUACAUUUGUGAAAAUUUUAUUGUGGAAGUGGGUACGUCUCAGUCGACUGAGACUUAACCUCAGUCAAGUGAUAUAGUACAAGGAGAAAAAGAAAAGAAAAAUGAAGAAUCCUUUUUGCAUGGAUCUCCAUGCAAGAUCAAAGGAAUAUAGCAUCGAUUGAGACAAAACAAAGUCUCAGUCGACGGAGUACUCAGCAAAACUAUUUUAUUAUCGGAAUCAAUUACUUCCGAACGACCAGUAUUUUAAGCUUUUGGGCCGAACGUGCUUUUCAUCAUUGGAUUCAGGUAUGAAUCUUAGAACAGAGGAAAUUAGCCAGGUCAGCUUUUUAUUUCGUUCGAGGAAAUUGACUACCGCCGCGAACGCUCCCCACCACCACUCCUGUGUUUCCCUGUCCCAGCCACUCCUUACCCAUUUCUCUGCCACACAGUCGCCCCAUCUACCCCCCACCAACACCGUCCCAGCCCUUUCGUUUACUCUGGCGACGGUGUUGGCGGCGAUCCCAGCGUGGUUCAGUGGCGCUAUGUGGAGAUGGAGGCUCACGCGCAUCAUGCGGUUGGUGGAUCUCGGCUGCUGCGGCCAUGUCGAUGGCGGCGGAGGCGAGGGACCCACGCUUGCUGGUGUCGUGAUUUCAGUGGGCCGGAGCUGCUGGAGGUGAGGACCGGAGGUGCUCCUUUCCGCGCGUUGUCUCCGUCAGCCACCUCGACCCCUGGUGGAGGGGCGGUCCCAAGUCUCACCGACGGUUUCUUGGUGCGUGGCCCCGUGUCGACGGCGGCAGAUAGACCGGCUGUAUGCCUGGUCGUGCUGCUGUUUUGGAGGGUAGGAGAUCAGGCUCGCGGGUGCCCGCGCCCGAUCUGAAGCCGGGAGGGAGACGCUCUUGUGUAGUUGUGUGUGCCCGUCGUCGCUGCAGCAGCUCCGCUCGUGCACGCCAGCAAGAGCUCCGCCGCCAGCUCCUGUCGCUUUGGGUCUUACAUCAUCUGCCGCAUCCCCAAACAUCAUCGACUGUGGCCCUAUCCGGUGAGCACCAAUCUCUCUUUUUUGCUUGCAACUAGAUGUUGCUUUGUGGCACCACAAGAAAUAUGUCAACUUGUGACCCUCGCUAUUGGGCAUUGAAAGGUCAUUGUUUUCAUUUGCGACCUUUUUGUGACCAAAAACAGAAGGUCAAAAGCUGGCGGUCGUAAACUGAAAUUAGUGACCUUCUUUGUGAUAUGUAAAAGGUUGUUGGUUCCAUGACCAAAUUUUUGGUCACUAGCAACCUCCCCAUGCCACGUAGGCAUCCAGCGUGGCAAGCUGGUCUGACACAAGAUUCAGCCCGGUCCAAUUCGGUUUUCUACAUGGGCCUAGCCCAACAAUUCGGCCUUUUUACUGUAUAUUUUCUCUAUUAAUUUUCUCUAGCUAUAUGGGCCUAGCCCAACAAUUUGGCCUUUUUAUUUUCUAGGCAUGGCCUUUUGCGGUCCAUUUCAUUUUUAUUUUCGAGGGUUUUUUGUGGUCCAGUUUUUAGAUGGGUCCCAAUUGUCAGAUUUUUCCUGGCAGUAGAUCCACAUCGCUUUUUAAGCAGUAUAUAUAUAUAAAACAGAAAGAAGAAAAGAAUAUGAAAAUCUUCAAAUAACAACUAAAAUAGGUUUAUUACAAUAUAUUCUAUGCAGAACAGAACAUGUGAAACUCCAUACACUCGUUCACAUCACAACAACCAGUUUAACCUACAAAUAUUGCAUGCCCAGGAACUUAAAACUUCACGUACAUAACCAUACGAUAUUCCACACAAUCACAAAUAUUGUGAUUGAAAAAUAAAACACUCUGCCAAGUUAAAGCUAGCUAUUCUUGGAUACCACGGAACAUGCUCUUCAACAUAGGAAGAAGUCAUCAACGGUGUUCUAUCAACAACACAAGCUCCAUUCACCUACAAGAACAGAAUGGAAUAUCAAGUACUUGGAUCGUUCAAGCAGAUUACAACCAACAUAUAUAUAUAUGUAGAAGUACAUCAGGAAAUAUGAUGGAGCAAUCGGACAACAAAUACAUUAAGUAAACAGCCCAACCGAUGAGUGAUGACGACAAGCAAAGAGUAUAAACCCAGGUUUGGACAUAAAUAGUGUCAACUCAAGCAGAACAUAAUAAGGCAGUAAACUCAAGCAGAACAUAAUUAAGCACGAUGAAAGGGACCAUCCAAUUAAAUUCCAUUCCCAUCUUCUUCAGUAAGGACAGGCAAAACAUCCCAGCAUAUCUCAAGUCGAUGAAUUAUUCUAGCAAUAACCAAAUUAGAAACAUCCCUUGUUGUUCCAUUUAACCAUACUACAAGACUGUAGAAGAAUCACCCUUGGUGAAUCAAAUCAUAGCAAAUCGAGCAACAGAUACAAGAGGCACAUCAGGCCUAGCCAUUUUUGUUUCAGUAAUUUAGAAAGAGGGGCGAUGGGGCACGGAACCUUGAGGCCCUGUUACGGGGUUGUGUUUGAUGAAGGUUGCCCUUUGGGGCGGCAGCUGCAGCUCCGCCAGAUGCAGCAGCAGCUCCUCCUACCGGCACGACGGCGGUGACAGCACAAAUGGUCACCUAUGUGACAUUUCAGAUCAUCAUUACAGAAUUUAAUUUAUUUAUUCAAGACGCAAGCAGCAAAGAUAGUGUCCACCUUCGCAUAUAGAACCGAGCAUAGAUUUACAGCACAUCAAUGAUUCAAGUAGUUCAAGACUUAAUUACUUUUUCAACAUCAGGGUAAGAGAUAUGGAACAAAAAUGCACAAAUGGUGCCUAUUGAGUGAGAGCAAGAAUAAUAAAGGGGCACAGCUGUGUGAAACUGUUAUCAGCAUUGUUUCAAAGUUUACUGUGGCAUAUUUUUCAUGAUCAGUAUGACUUCUUAUAAAUAAUAACCAAUAGUACUGCCGCCAGAUCCUUACACAUGUAUAAUGGCAUGAAUAGAGCAAUAGAGCAAUGCCCAAUCCUUACACAUGUAUAAUGGCGUGAAUAUGCAAGUUAGACCUAGAUGUUACUAACAAGUGUUAUUUGCAUAAUUAAUGAAUAAGUGUGGUAUUUCUGACUAGCCAGAAUCAAUCUUUGUGCAUACAUCUGGCCAUGUUGUUCCUUGCCAAAUAAGCUCCCAAAAGUAGUAUUAAUAAAAUUGAAACAGAAUAACAUUUACAGGACUACAUGAACCACAACAAGAAAUUUUCUGUUGCGAGUAAGCUACUUGCCUUUGUCCAUUUGCUCCCACCAAGUCAAUCUAUUAUACAUCCCUUGAUCAUCAGCGAAUGGAGUUCCCUUCUUCCAGUGGAAGAAGUUGUAUGUAAUCUGAAAUGAAGAUUCAGUUAGGAAAGCAAUGACAAUAGAGAAAUAAUUUCUAGAUAGUAUGUUUCAAGCUAUAAUCUUAUGAGAAAAAUAGCAAUAAUUUGUACUUCCAGAAUUGAGGUUGGGCCAACUAGAACUACAGUAUUUACUGCCAGAAUGAUUUCAUGAAUUUUGCCACUACAUGAUUAUAUUUAAAGUAGCAAAAGAAUUAUUAAAUGCAGGCUAUUUAUUUGGCUAUUAUGAAACAGUAAACCUUCAAACUAGAAUACACUUUAUUAGUUGGCAGGAUUGGCGAAUGUGUCGUAGCAAUCUAAGAAACAGAAGUGCAUUUCUAUGUGGUAAAAUGAUGUGCCUAGUUGCUGAAAAAUGAUGUCUAUUUAUGUUGACAGAAUGCUUUUUAGGAGUUGGCAUCCAGUUCCUAUUGAGCUAUACAAGGAGGCUAGAAUUGAGCAUUGUCGUGCAACUAGGGACUUGAGUAGCUACGGCUGCUAUGUGCAACAUGUGCUCAUCAACAACAAAAAUUCCCACACUCAUCAAUUAGUAGAAAUGAAACUGAUAGUAGUAUAGUAGGUGUGGUCUGGUCCUAGCAGCAAAAAAACUUGUCACUUAUGCAUCAGAGAGAGGGGGACUACCAAAUUGAGUUGCUCUUUCAUCCAUGGUGGCGUCCCUGCAUCCAUGUAGCUGCUGCUGCUGCUGACCUUGAAGAUGCAGCUCGUCGUUCUGCUGUUGUACCAAACGAACCUUGUCGCUGCUGCACGCAUAAUAACAAAUAAGAAGUGGUUUGUCAGAUCAAACCAGAACCUUCCAUGAGAGAGAGAGAGAGGGAGAGGGAGGGAGGGAGAUUUCAAACCUUCCAUGGGCAGUAGCUAGGAGGAGUAGGCAGAGCAGAGGAGGGAGCAGCAUCUAGGAGGAGGAGGCAGAGCAAAGGAGGGAGCAGCAGCAGCACCAGAGCAACCUGCACACACAAAACAAACAAACAAACGCAGGAAUCAGAAGUGAGGAGAAGAAGAAAUGGCCGACUGCCGACUGCUGGAAUUGCCGGAGAUGGCCGGCUGUCGACUCGCGUUUGCCAUGGACGUCUCCGCCACCGUGCCCUCAUCGCCCCGUCCCCAUCCAUCCAUUGGUGGGUGGGUGAAGGUCUACAGUGUCGGGCCUCAUCCGCCCAUGGGUCGGACGGACCUGAGGGAGGGAGAGCUAGGGAGCGAGGGAGGGAUGUCGCGGUGGUGAUGGGGUUGGGGGAGACGGUCACCGGUGGGGUUGGGGGUGGGUGUCGGCACCNNNNNNNNNNNNNNNNNNNNNNNNNNNNNNNNNNNNNNNNNNNNNNNNNNNNNNNNNNNNNNNNNNNNNNNNNNNNNNNNNNNNNNNNNNNNNNNNNNNNNNNNNNNNNNNNNNNNNNNNNNNNNNNNNNNNNNNNNNNNNNNNNNNNNNNNNNNNNNNNNNNNNNNNNNNNNNNNNNNNNNNNNNNNNNNNNNNNNNNNNNNNNNNNNNNNNNNNNNNNNNNNNNNNNNNNNNNAAUGAGGAGGAGCCACCGCGGGGGAAGCGUGCGCGAGCAGGAGAGGAUGAGGGGGGAGAGUGAGGCUGGCGGCGAGAUUGGAUCUGGGGAGGGGAUAGGGUUUGGGUGGUUAGAGGGGAUGAGGGGGGAGAAGGGGGCGGCGACGAUGGAUCCGGGGAGGGGAUAGGGUUUGGGUGGUUGGGCUGCCCGGGGGUGGGGUUCUUUUUCUUUCUUUCUAUUUUUUUCUUUAGAUAAAUGCGAUGGAUGGAUGGAUGCCAUGUCGUCGAUCCAUGGCACAAACAUUUCAACCAAUAAGAACAAAGCUUAUGUAAUUGUAUGAACAGCCUUCCAUGAAUGCAGCUUCCUCUUCAUGUCAGAAAAAAAGGAAAAUGGAUCUAGCUUCUGUUAGUUUGCCAUCUUCUCCUCGAGAAUAUAAUGACUAAAUUUGUCAUGUCACCAUUUACAAAUUCAGAAAAAUGUUCAUGUUUUUUUAGAGAACGAACUCGUUAAUUUGUAGUUUUUUCAAUCAUGGCAACCCCCUAUGCACAUUGUAUAUCCUUUUUGCCAUGUUAUUCUAGAAAACAUGGCAAUUUUCUUAGCUUGUUUUUACUUUGUACAUGGCAAAAAUAAAGCAGAAUAAGUUUUUUGUGAAAACAUGGCAAUUUCUGUUAAGCAACAUGGAAAUUCUUGUUAAAACCACAUGGCAAGUCAUAAGGAAUUUUUUAUUAAGUAAAAUCAAAUGGCAAAAUUAGUUGUUCCAUGGCAAUUUUCUUUUUUCUUUUUCAUGAUGGCAAAUUUAAUUUUUGUACCAUGGCUUCUUCUCUAUCUUCUUUUCAUGAUGGCAAGUUUAUUUUAGUACCAUGGAAAAAUGUAUUAUUCAUUCGCGGAAAUUUCCAUGUUCGUAGAACAUGGCAAAUUGUACUAUUCUGUCAUGGCAAAUUAUACUAUUCGAUCAUGGCAAUUUUCAACCCGCAUUUUACCAUGGUUAUUUUCAGUCUGUAGGCCUAAAGAACAUGGCAACUUUCCUUUUUGUAGCAUGGUUAAUUUAUUUUUUAUUACCAUGGCAAAUUUCAUUUUGCAUUUGCUAUUGCAAAUUUUUCUUUUUCUUACCCAUGGGAAAUUUACCUUUACUGCCAUGGCAAAAUUACAUAUCUUGCCAUGGCAAUUUUUUUAUUUUUUUAUUUUGCCAUGGCAAUAUUUCCUUUUGCUUUGUCAUGGCAAAUUUUGGAUUCAUUGACAUGGCAAUUUUCACCUUUUGUUUCGCACGACAAUAUUUUCAUUCAUUGAGAUGGAAAAUUUACAUUUAUUGUUACGGCAAAUUUACUUCAACAUACAUGGCAACAUUUUGCUUUUUGGUUUUGCCAUGGCAAUAUUUUUCAUUAAUUGACAUGGCAAACUUGCAUUUAUUGCCAUGGCAAUUUUAUUUUAACAUACAUGGCAAAAUUUCCCCCUUUAGUUUUGCCAUGGCAAUUUUCCCUUUUGUUCCCCUGGGCAAAUUCAUGUCUACUGUCAAGGCAAAAGUACUUCAACAUACAUGGCAAACUUUAACUCUUUGUUUUGCUUUUACAUGGCAAUUUCUUUUCUUUUUCUUGACUUUCCAUGUUGGCGAAAUUAUAUUUUCUACCAUGGCAAUUUUAUUUUCUGUAUCACGGAAAAUUUCAUUUUUUUCCUUUUCUGUUAUUUUUUUUAGCAUGAUGGCAUUUUUAUUUUACCACCAUGGCAAUUUUAUUUUUUGUAACGUGGCAAAUUAUUCUGUUGGACCAUGGCAAUUUUUUUCUUUUUCUUUACUUUUCAUGAUGGCAACUUUAUUUAGCUACGUCGCAAAGUUUUUCUUGUAACAUGGACGAUAAAAAUUGUCUACCAUGGCAAGCUCAUUUAUGUGCAUACAUCCUCCCUUUUUCAAUUUUUCGAUAAAUUUCUUUUUAAGUAAAUUAUUUUUGAAAUAAAACAUGGUGAUUUUUUCUCUAAUAACAAUAAAAAUUAUGUUUUCGUCUUUUUUACUACGAUGGCGAUUUUAUUUGAUUACCAUGGCAGUUUUAUUUUUUAUGUAUUAUACCAUUGGACCAUGGAAAAUUAUUUUUCUUCUUAUUGUUCAUGAUGGCAACUUUAUUAAAUAAUCCUUUUCGGGAUGACCCGUCAUGAUGAAGCCCAGAGCGAAUGUCAAUUGGUUAAUGAGAAGAAAAACAAAUUUGGGCUUUCAUUUGUCUCAGAAAAAAAAACUAGUUUUGUUCGCGCCGGAACUAAUUUUAUUUCCCACGACAAUAUUCGAACGACAAUAUUUUCCCUCGUACCGAACUUCAGUUCGGACCGCUCGCGUCCCGGCCCGAACGUUCAGCAUAUAUCGAGGUCCUUUAUUAUACAUUUAAAUUCUUUUUUUCUAUUUUUGAGCAUCAGUACAGACACAAGCGCUCAUAUACACGCGCAUACACUCACCCCUAUGAACGCACUCACGCACACCCUACCCUCCGAGAGACUGAGCCGGCAUACCAUCUUGAGAAUUACGAAGUCACCGUAGGCGCUUCGUCGUCGACGAGAACGUCUCCUCCAAUUGAAAGCACAUCGCCGGAAAUCCUGAAAUAAAUUCAGAAAUAAUGCGAGCACCAGGAUUUGAACCCUGAUAGGUUGGGGAUACCACUGUCCACCUAACCAUCUCAACCACAGGUUGGUUCGCAUUAUACAUUCAAAUUCAUUUAAUGUGGUGUAACUACUAAAAGAGUUUCACUUUGAUGCAUGAGCAACAAAUGGAGACGUUUGAAACCAUAAACACAAAUUUAUAGCGCCAGCAUCUAAUUACUCCUUAUACUCUUGUUAUAUAUAGUUCGAGUCGGACAGAGAAACAAAUCAGACGACCAUGGCCCCUCUCCAAGCUCUCUCCUCCGUCCUCGUCCUCCUGCUCCUCACACAGCACGCGCGCACGGCGAGGGCGAGCACGCUGGAGGACACGUGCAGGCUCGUCGGCACCGGCGGGGCGCAGGACUACGACUUCUGCGUGAAGACGCUGGGGGCGGACCCGGCGAGCGCGAUGGCCGACGAGCUCGGCCUGGUGGUCAUCGCGGUGAAGAUCGCCAUGGCGACCGCCAAGGCCACCGGCGACCGCAUCGCCCGGCUGCAGGCCUCCGAGACGUCGCCCCGGCGGCGGCUGGUCCUGGACGAGUGCGCCAACGACUACGCCUUGACAGUGCGCUGGCUGGGGCGCGCCUCCAUGGACUUGGCCGCGGGCGGGGACGAGGACCGGCUGACGGAGGCGGCCACCCUGCUGGAGCACGUUCGUGGCACGCCGGCGCGCUGCGACAAGGCGUUCGUCCUCUGGGCCGGCGAGAGGACGCCGCUGACCGACGCGGACCACGAGCUCAACGGGGUGACCGUGCUGGCGUUGAAAAUCUUGCGCCAUUGCUUAAAUGACGGGGUAAAAUGAGCAAGUAGCACGAGGCCUUCUUCUACCUCCGGAAGAAAAUGAUCAUCUUUUCCGGCAGUGAAAUAUGUGAUGUGCAACAAUAAAAUGAGUAAUAAUAAUAACUUGCAAAAUUUCCAAUGGAGAUUGUAGAACAUUGUGGUCUUAUCAGUAUUUAUUUAUUUCAAAAAUGACGCUGAAGAUUUUCUCUGAUUCACAAGAGUUCAUUCAGAUCAGGCGAGGAAGGUUACCAUUCGAUUUUCACUGACAAUUAGGUUUUUGAUUGAGGGUUCUGUGAUUCUCCAGCUACAUGUCUUGGGUACGUGGUACCUUUCUCUGACUCUUCUUUUCAUUAUGUAACCUCUCUGGCCUUUACAAAAAAGACGUUCUCAUAACUAAAUGUCUUUCUUGUGAUUCUGAUAGGCCCACCUACGACACAUGCAUGUACACCAUGUUUCUCUACUGUAAUUUAAUGUUAUAUUUAGAUGUUACAAAAAAAUUAUUUACAUGUUACACAAAAGAGUUCAGGGUUCACUUAGAGGAAUAAUUGCUUUGCAGGUAUACAUUUACUGAAAGGGACUGAUGUGCUGAACUUUCGAGAAUUCCGAUUGGUCGUUAAUAUAACCUUUUCUCCUUUUGUUGAAAUGUCCGAAGGAAUUUCCCUUAUUUUAGGUUUUCAACUUGAGGAGUUUCGUGCUUUUUGAGUGGAGCCAUCCACAUAUAUAAUAUGAUUCUCAAAAAUUCAUUAUGAGGUAAAAUCAUUAUAUACAUAUUGUUUCCUGUAUUUUUUGUGUGAGUAGGGCCAGCUUAUUGCAUGAUUAAUAAGACAUUUUUGUGUAGUUCACCGUUUAUUUUAUUAUGUCUGUAUAAACAAGAUUUUUUGGUUAUUUGGCCUCACAAAUGUUCUUUCUUGAACAGCAACCAGCAGAGAACAAGAACAACAAUAGUGAUGAGAAAGGAAGGAGCCGAGUAUGCCACACACUGAUACGAUGGUUUCCCCUGUGUUCUCUAUAUAUGGUAAUCCACUUCUUCACUGACUCAAAUUGUUUACUGGUGAGCUAACAAGAUGGUUUUGUGUCUUCCCUCUUUCUUUGUAAGUGAAUGACUUCAGGUUCUUGGGCAUUAUUCAACUGCCAUACUUGUGGGAAAUAAAUGUACUAAACUUGUGAGAUGGAUUGAUUAAUGGGCAGUGGAAUGGGAUUAGGGCUCGCAAUUUACAAACAAUGAGUUGCAACUAUAAAGAAUGGAUUGAUUAAUGGGCAGCAGAAUGGGAUUAGGGCUCUGCAUAGUUAUGAGUUGCAACUACAAAGAAUGGAUUGAUUAAUGGGUAGUACAAUGGGAUUAGGGAUCUGCACAGUUAUGAGUUGCAACUACAAAGAAUGGAUUGAUUAAUGGGUAGUGAAAUGGGAUUAGGGAUCGCAAUUUACAAACAACUCAAAAACGGUAAAAGUAACAAAAAUAUGAGUCGCACUUGGGUACGUGGUUGAAAAGAAAAUGAAACAUUGAAAUGCUUCUGCCUCCCAAAGAGGCGUACCAGCAUUUUCAUCGAAGGGAAAAUGUUUCAGAAUCUGGGGGUUUCAUCACCUGCUACUGUAACUGUUGUGUGUAAACAUGAGAGGUGCGCCUCUCAUUACAUUCCAUAUUUGCUUGAAUGCAAAUGUUUUAACUAUUAUGUGUAUAUAAAUGAGAGACGCAUUACCUCCAUAUUUGUUGGCAGGUCAAUGUUUUUAGAUAGGGUGCUAUUCAAUUCUAAUUGAUUUGCUCCAGGUAAACCCACGGGUCCUCGUCCUAGGGUUUCCGCCGCCGCCAUGGGCGACUCCCUUGCUUCCGCCCUAGUCUAAGCCGUUUCUCACCAUGAGUCUACGUGGUAGUUCGUCCUCCGGAUUACGGAGGGAGUCUAAGCCGUCUACGUUUCGUCUCGGAAGGAAGGAGCACCCGUCUGGGGCCGUGACCGGCAAGGGAACUGUGGCGGGCGGGACUCUCAUAAGUCCUCCAGUCCGCCGCAAUCUUCCUGGCAAGAUUGCGCCUUUCAAUAACCCGCUCUUCGACCCUAAAGCUACGUCUGCAGCAACCGCGCGCUCUCCAUCGAUGUCGUCCGCUGGCGAUGGGGGUGAAAAAGGGGGGGCCGAUGAGGCCCCUACCCACCCGAAGUCGUUCGGUGGCGAUGCGAUGGUGCCCGCGCGGGGUUCCGGAGGUCAGAUCGAGCCGGCGGAAGAGUUUGAUCACACCAGCAACUGGGAUGAGAGGGAAAGUGUGGGGCUGGAUGGUCCGGAGGUCAGUAUUGGCGGCGAGGUGAACCUAGAUGAUGAUGUUGUUGUGGAAGAGGAACCUGCAGUGGAGCCGGUGGCGGCGCCGCCGCGAUGGAGAUUGCUAGGCCGUUACGUCAGCAUCGGGCGCCCAAACGUCGACGACAUGACGGAACACUUCAGCGAGGUCUGGAAGGUACGAACAAGCCUCAAUAUUGCAAGGAUUAAGAACAAUUGGUAUGCGGUGACCUUCUUCUCCGAGGGAUAUUACAACUUUGUAGCAAGAGGAGGAUCUUGGAUUUUCAAGGGAAACACACUCAUUGUUGGCCCGUUCAAGGAAGGAGAGCAGCCUUCUGAGGCUGUACUGAAUUCAGUCCCGAUCUGGGUCCGUGUAUACAAUGUUCCGUGGGGAAAGCAGACUAUUGCGUAUGACGAAUUUCUUGCAGGCUUGUUGGGUACCGUCAUGGAGGUGGAUGCUGAGGCUGAUGGGAGCAGGGUUCGCGAGUUCUUGCGUAUACGUGUGGACCUGCCACUUGGCCGCCGGCUCCAGACCAAAAUUACCAUCGGCAAGGACCCGGCGAAACAAGUUAUCUACCCACUCCGUUACAAGAGGGUGCCCCACUACUGCUUCUGGUGUGGAUUCAUAGGCCACGAUGGCAACCAGUGCGAGAAGAAAAGGUUGGGUGUUCCGACCCGAGCAUAUGAUGAAGGGUUGAGGUGCUCUCCGUACAGAAAGUUUGAGAAUAGAUCAGGCGUUUGUGGCACCUGGAACCCAGCCUGCAGCAAGACGGGGGCUGAACUUUGCUAGUAAUGCUCCCUCUGAGGUUCUUGGAAAGCCAAGAGAGAGGCGUAGAGGGAAGGGAAGUCAAGAGCAGCAGCAAACACCAGAGAUACCAGUACGGGUUGAUGCUCACGACGGUUUUGGCGAACACAGCAGCUCUGACGGACACAACAUGGACACGGACAUUUCUGAUCGUGUUUUAGCUAUGCGUGUACACUUGGCUAGGCAGAGAGCUGAGGCCAGCAGAGUCCGUACGGUGCGGGCAUCAUCUGAACCUCCAGAGUUUGUCUUCCUUGGAGGUAGAAUACCUGCGCCCCUGCCACUUUCAGUACGCCCACCUAGGAGUGAGCCGAGCCACAGCAGCAACCUUGGGAGCAAGGAUAUGAUCCCGGCCAUGCGUAACCUUCACGACACCUCAGAUUUUUCAUCUGCUGAAUCCGAUCAAUACAUGCAAGAGGCUGAUUCUGUUCUGGGGAAGAAAUUUUCACGUGGGCAAGCGUCCGACGACCUGAAUCCCAACCAGGGAGCUAUGGUGGUGCAUGCAAAGAGGGGCGUUGUCAACAAGCAGAAACGAGGGAAGACUCAACAGAGUGGCAAAGGCAAGAACCAAGAUGAGGAGAAGAUGGACUCGGACAGCAUGGAUGGAGUGGAGGCAACCGGCCUUGGGGCCGCCGGUAAACUGACGGGGUCGGGUGCGCCGCCCCGUCAGGAGCAAUGAAUUGGCUAAGUUGGAACUGCCGGGGGGCGGGGAAUCCCUCGACAGUUCAUGAUCUCGCGUCUCUUGUUAUGACGCAAUCCCCAAGUCUUGUUUUCUUGUGUGAGACUAGGCAAAAUAAAAAUAAGAUGUAUCAUUUGCGUAAUAGGUUAGGGCUUUCUGGUUCUGAAGGAGUCAGUAGUAAUGGUCGUAGUGGCAGCCUAGCACUAUUUUGGCAUGAGUCUAUGUAUGUCGAUGUGCAAGAAGCUAUUGAAAGAUUGAUUGACGUGUAUUUGCGUGUCUCCCCGGACAAGCCAUUAUGGAGAGCUACAUUUGUUUAUGGCGAACCGAGAGUAGAAAAUAGACACAUGAUGUGGGAUAAGCUCAAAGGUCUGCAUGCUCAGAGCGCUCUGCCAUGGGUGAUUAUCGGUGACUUCAAUGAGGGUAUGUGGGAUUUUGAGCAUCAAUCGGAAACUCCGAGACCUGCUGGUCAAAUGAUUAAUUUUCAGGAUGCACUUGAAGCUUGUGGACUCACUGAUCUUGGUUUUUCAGGGCACCCCUUCGCAUAUGAUAAUAGGCGGAGUGGCCGGGCGAACGUCCAAGUUUGGCUGGAUAGAGCGGUGGCGUCCAAUGACUGGAGAGACAUGUUUAUGCAAGCUUCGGUGGCAAACCUUGUAUCGCCAGCGUCGGACCAUAGUCCACUGCUCCUCAAGUUCUCGCUGGAACAGGACAGGUGGCCUCACAGCAGCCGCCGGUACGAGUUGAUGUGGGAGAGAUCGCCGGCGUUAGAGGCCAUUAUCGCAAACUCUUGGUCAAGCAAAGGUACGAAGAGGAACCUGGGAGAUGUACGGGAGGCCCUUGCUACUGUUAUGGCUGAUCUACACACUUGGAGUAAUAAAACUUUUGGCAAUGUUACACGGGAGCUUGAAAAGUCACGUACUAGGCUUGAGGAACUAACCAAUAUGAAUGCAGACCGAGCUUAAAUAAGAUUGGAGAUGGACAAGAUGAAUGAGCUGUUAUACAGGGAGGAAAUGUUGUGGCUCCAGAGAUCUCGGAUUGUUUGUCUAAAGGAAGGGGAUCGUAACACCAAGAUGUUCCACAGGAAGGCAGUUUGGCGAGCGAGAAAGAAUAAAAUCCGAGGGCUGGAGGAUGAGGCGGGUGUUAUUCACACCGAUUAGGCCAACAUGCUACAGAUGGUAAAAUGUUAUUUUCAUAAUUUAUUCACAGCUGACCCAAUGUUGGAUCCACAUGAUGUGUUACAGCUUAUACAGCCCAAGGUGUCCGUGGAGAUGAACAAUAAUCUAUGCAAGGAUUUUACCGAUGAGGAGAUUUCUAAUGCAAUGUUCCAGAUAGGGCCCCUAAAGGUGCCGGGGCCGGAUGGGUUCCCCGCGAGAUUCUUCCAGCGGCAUUGGGCGUGAUGAAGGAUUACAUAAUUAAUGCGGUUAAAUUAUUUUUUGCCUCUGGAGUCAUGCCAGACGAGAUAAACAGCACGGUCAUUGUUUUGAUCCCCAAGAUUGACUCGCCGUCCCGACUCACUGAUUUUCGGCCUAUCAGUCUCUAUAAUGUCAUAUAUAAGGUGAUAGCCAAAUGCCUGGUCAAUAGGUUGAGGCCUAUUUUGGAUGAGUUGGUGUCCCCAGAGCAGAGCGCCUUUGUACCGGGCAGAUUAAUUACAGAUAAUGCAUUAAUCGCUUUUGAGUGUUUUCAUGCGAUCAAACAGGAGAAGGACCCGGAGCAGAGCUUUUGUGCCUAUAAACUGGACCUGUCCAAGGCUUACGAUCGGGUAGAUUGGGUUUUCUUGGAGUGAGUGAUGCAACAAAUCGGUUUCUCUAACCGAUGGGUGGAUUGGAUAAUGAGGUGUGUCACCUCGGUGAGGUAUUGUGUGAAAGUCAAUGGAGCCCUCUCGGAUUCAUUCGCACCGUCUCGUGGACUACGGCAGGGAGACCCCCUCUCACCUUUCCUUUUCCUUUUUGUUGCUGACGGUCUUGAUACUAUUCUAAAACAGGAGAUUGCAACCAACCGCCUCACUCCACUCCGGGUGUGCGCCCAAGCUCCAGGCAUCUCACACCUCCUGUUCGCGGAUGACACCUUAUUGUUCUUUCGUGCUAAUGGAGAGGAGGCUGCCCAAGUCAAAGAAGUUAUCAAUACAUAUGCUAGAGCUACGGGCCAGCUCAUAAAUCCUGCCAAGUGCUCUAUAAUGUUCAGCCCCAAAUGUUCACAAGCUAACAAGCAGGAGGUCAUGCACAACUUGGACGUGGUGAAUAUGAGCUUUGAGCAGAAAUAUCUUGGCUUUCCAACGCCAAGUGGCCGCUUUUCAAAAGGGAAACUACACAAUCUUCAGCAACACCUGACAAAGAGAAUUAUACAGUGGGGAGAAUUGAUGUCCCAAGCAGGACGUGAGGUUCUUAUUAAGGCGGUGGCGCAGGCCCUACCCACCUUCCUAAUGAGUUUGUUUAAAUUUCCUAGAAGCACCUGCGAUGAUUUGGGGCAGAUGAUUCGUAGCUACUGGUGGGGCACGUACAGAGGCAAGAGGAAAACCCACUGGAAAUCUUGGGACUCGAUGCUAAGGCCCAAAUCGGCUGGGGGUAUGGGAUUCAAGGACUUCAGACUCUUCAACCAAGCAAUGUUAGCUCGGCAAGCAUGGCGUAUUUUGGUCAACCCGGAAUGUCUUUGUACGCGCGUCUUGAAGGCAAGGUAUUUCCCUAAUGGACGAUUAUAAGAUACUGUUUUCACUAGCAACGCGUCGCAAACUUGGCAGGCCAUUGUGCAUGGGUUGGAAUUGCUGAAGAAAGGCUUAGUCUGGCGCAUCGGUAACGGGCAGUCGAUCCGAAUUUGGCGGGACUCCUGGAUACCACACCCUGUUGGUCGGCCACCAAUUACCCAACAAGGAAGGUGCUGUCUCCGCCGAGUCUCGGAGCUACUAGACGAGCAUGGUGCAUGGCGCGGAACCCUACUUCAACAGUACUUUUUGCCCGUUGAUGUUCAGGAGAUACUAAAGAUUAAAGCGUCCCCUCGGCUGGGGGCAGAUUUCCUUGCAUGGGAUGCAGAACGUACUGGUAUCUUCACCGUACUUAGCGCGUACCGGCUGGCGCUUGAGGACAAGCUUUGUCCCUCUUCAGUCGCAGCGAGCAGGGCACCGGACGGGCGACGUGCCGUCUGGGCAUUAUUAUGGAGGUGCCCUGCUCCUCCUAAGGUGCGUGUGUUUGCAUGGCGUUUGGCUACUAACUCCCUUGCCACAUGGUCUAAUAAAUUUAGUCGACACAUGGAGGUUACUGAUAUAUGCCCAUUAUGUGGUCUCGAGCGCGAGGACACUUUUCAUGUGUUUUGCAGGUGCCCUCGGACGGUGCAUUUGUGGCGGACUAUGGCGGAGGUGUGGAGUAUACCGGACAUCGAGUCAGUCCGUAACACCGGCCCAGAGUGGCUCCUGAACCUAAUUGCAGAAAGCAAUGAAGGGGACCGGCUGCGCCUGAUUAUGCUUUUGUGGAGAUGUUGGCAUGUGUGCAACAAGAUCACUCAUGACAAACCGGCGCCGCCUGUGGAGGUAUCCCGUCGCUUUUUGCAGAGCUACGUAACCUCACUGCUCGGGAUCCAGCAGUAUCCACAGGGAGAUUGGGACAAAGGGAAGAUGACCAUCCAACAAGAAGGUGCAGAACAACCUAUAUCACACGUGGGAGGUGUGCCACGAAUAGUCCACAAAUGGAGUCCCCCACCCGCCAACUGGACGAAGCUGAAUGUCGAUGGCUCCUUUUCCCAUGAUGACGGGAGGGCCGGGACGGGAAUGGUGCUCCGUGACCAGGAAGGGGCCAUUAUUUUCUCCGUGUGUCGCUCGCUAUGGUCUUGACCGGACCCUCUACAUGCCGAGCUGGCUGGGUGCAUGGAGGGCAUAGCUUUGGCCCUCCAAUGGACAGAGUUGCCGUUUAUCGCCGAGUGCGAUAGUCUGCAGGCAGUGCAACUGAUAAAUGCCUCAGGACAAGACCGCUCGCAGUAUGCCAUGGUGGUCUCGGAAGUGAAGCAUCUUGUGUUGAAAGGGAGUGUCAUGUUAUUCAUAUUUCUCGAGAUCAGAAUAAUGUAAGCCAUGCGUUGGCGAAAUUUGGAAGGACGGAGGACCGUACUGUGGUCUGGCUCCGCUCCGGCCCGGACAAUAUCCCUAGCUUGUGUAGGGAGGACCUUCUUGGCUCUUGAGUAAUACAAAUCCCUUUUACCCCGCAAAAAAAAAUUCUAACUGAUUUAACAUAAACAUUUUGGCUAAAAAAAGGUUAAUCAAUUGACAAUAUUGCAACAUAUGCAUGAGGAUCCCUCGAAAAAAAACAUAUGCAUGAGGAUAAUAUUUAUGCUCCGUUGAAACGCACGAGCAAUUAUCUAGGAUGAUGGGACUUAACAAAUUGUCAAAUUUGGAGGGAACACCAGAUGGAUUUGGAUUGGGCUGACAACAAGUGAAGUAAUAAUAAUAGAGUGGCCAAAGAGCUGAAGUUGAGGGGCUCCUGAUAGAUCCAUUUGUUGGCCCGUGGCAAUGCACGGGCGUUCUACUAGUUUUCAUUAAUAGAUCCAUUUCCCCUCAAUCUCUGGCAAAUUCUUUGGGGCGUGCUACGCGUCAGCCGGCGGAUCUUUUUAAAAGAUCCAUCAGGUUCUGAGCCUUCGAAUCUGACAUGAUCUCGCGGCCGAGCGUCUUCCUCACUUUUGUAACAGAAAUCGUGUUGUGAGAACCCUUUUGCAACAUAGGUCUUGUUGCAUAAACGUCAUCGCGUAGAACAACACUAGCACACUUGUGGGAACUGUUGUUAUGGCGGCACCAGCGGUUGUGACUGAGCUCGAGGAGGCAACAACCAUGCAUGCUUGUCCACGCCGGUGCUCCCUCGGGAGGGCGGGGUGACGGCGGACGCGGCUCCCCGUGGAUGCGGAUGCCGGUGCUUUCCCGAUACGGCGGACGCGACUUGAGGACUUGGGGCGGCUUCAAAUGGAACCUGCGUCCUGCGGGGAUGAGAGUUCGGAGAAAGAGAGGAAAAUGGCUGGGAGAAGACAACGGAGGUUUUUGAAGAUAAGGUAAGGGGCACAUGGCUGGUUGGGGCUAGUAAAAACAUAUGUGAACGUCUGCGGUAUGAUCAGAUGGGAUCCAAUGUUGUAUGGGCGGCGGAACGUUGUCCGUGAUCGGUGAAUGAUUUCUCUAAACUUUUUUACCAUUUGUUAAUUACAUUUGUCAAAAUUUUAUUGUGGAAGUGGGUACAUCUCAGUCGACUGAGACUUAACCUCAGUCAAGUGAUAUAGUACAAGGAGAAAAAGAAAAGAAAAAUGAAGAAUCCUUUUUGCAUGGAUCUCCAUGCAAGAUCAAAGGAAUAUAGCAUCGAUUGAGACAAAACAAAGUCUCAGUCGACGGAGUACUCAGCAAAACUAUUUUAUUAUCGGAAUCAAUUACUUCCGAACGACCAGUAUUUUAAGCUUUUGGGCCGAACGUGCUUUUCAUCAUUGGAUUCAGGUAUGAAUCUUAGAACAGAGGAAAUUAGCCAGGUCAGCUUUUUAUUUCGUUCGAGGAAAUUGACUACCGCCGCGAAUGCUCCCCACCACCACUCCUGUGUUUCCCCGUCCCAGCCACUCCUUACCCAUUUCUCUGCCACACAGUCGCCCCAUCUACCCCCACCAACACCGUCCCAGCCCUUUCGUUUACUCUGGCGACGGUGUUGGCGGUGAUCCCAGCGUGGUUCAGUGGCGCUAUGUGGAGAUGGAGGCUCACGCGCAUCAUGCGGUUGGUGGAUCUCGGCUGCUGCGGCCAUGUCGAUGGCGGCGGAGGCGAGGGACCCACACUUGCUGGUGUCGUGAUUCCAGUGGGCCGGAGCUGUUGGAGGUGAGGACUGGAGGUGCUCCUUUCCGCGCGUUGUCUCCGUCAGCCACCUCGACCCCUGGUGGAGGGGCGGUCUCAAGUCUCACCGACGGUUUCUCGGUGCGUGGCCCCGUGUUGAUGGCGGCAGAUAGACCGGCUGUAUGCCUGGUCGUGCUGCUAUUUUGGAGGGUAGGAGAUCAGGCUCGCGGGUGCCCGCGCCCAAUCUGAAGCCGGGAGGGAGACGCUCUUGUGUAGUUGUGUGUGCCCAUCGUCGCUGCAGCAGCUCCGCUCGUGCACGCCAGCAAGAGCUCCGCCGCCAGCUCCUGUCGCUUUGGGUCUUACAUCAUCUGCCGCAUCCCCAAACAUCAUCGACUGUGGCCCUAUCCGGUGAGCACCAACCUCUCUUUUUUGCUUGUAACUAGAUGCUGCUUUGUGGCACCACAAGAAAUAUGUCAACUUGUGACCCUUGCUAUUGGGCAUUGAAAGGUCAUUGUUUUCAUUUGCGACUUUUUUGUGACCAAAAACAGAAGGUCAAAAGCUGGCAGUCGUAAACUGAAAUUAGUGACCUUCUUUGUGAUAUGUAAAAGGUCGUUGGUUCCAUGACCAAAUUUUUGGUCACUAGCAACCUCCCCAUGCCACGUAGGCAUCCAGCGUGGCAAGCUGGUGUGACACAAGAUUCAGCCCGGUCCAAUUCGGUUUUCUACAUGGGCCUAGCCCAACAAUUCAGCCUUUUUACUGUAUAUUUUCUCUAUUAAUUUUCUCUAGCUAUAUGGGCCUAGCCCAACAAUUUGGCAUUUUUAUUUUCUAGGCAUGGCCUUUUGCGGUCCAUUUCAUUUUUAUUUUCGAGGGUUUUUUGUGGUCCAGUUUUUAGAUGGGUCCCAAUUGUCAGAUUUUUCCUGGCAGUAGAUCCACAUCGCUUUUUAAGCAGUAUAUAUAAAACAGGAAGAAGAAAAGAAUAUGAAAAUCUUCAAAUAACAACUAAAAUAGGUUUAUUACAAUAUAUUCUGUGCAGAACAGAACAUGUGAAACUCCAUACACUCGUUCACAUCACAACAACCAGUUUAACCUACAAAUAUUGCAUGCCCAGGAACUUAAAACUUCACGUACAUAACCAUACAAUAUUCCACACAAUCACAAAUAUUGUGAUUGAAAAAUAAAACACUCUGCCAAGUUAAAGCUAGCUAUUCUUGGAUACCAUGGAACAUGCUCUUCAACAUAGGAAGAAGUCAUCAAUGGUGUUCUAUCAACAACACAAGCUCCAUUCACCUACAAGAACAGAAUGGAAUAUCAAGUACUUGGAUCGUUCAAGCAGAUUACAAGCAACAUAUAUAUAUAUAUAUAUAUAUAUAUGUAGAAGUACAUCAGAAAAUAUGAUGGAGCAAUCGGACAACAAAUACAUUAAGUAAACAGCCCAACCGAUGAGUGAUGACGACAAGCAAAGAGUAUAAACCCAGGUUUGGACAUAAAUAGUGUCAACUCAAGUAGAACAUAAUAAGGCAGUAAACUCAAGCAGAACAUAAUUAAGCACGAUGAAAGGGACCAUCCAAUUAAAUUCCAUUCCCAUCUUCUUCAGUAAGG